UACGGAGGGUGCUAGCGUUGUUCGGAAUCACUGGGCGUAAAGGGCGUGUAGGCGGUCUGUUAAGUCUGAUGUGAAAUCCCCUCGCUUAACGAGGGAACUGCGUCGGAUACUGGCAGACUUGAGUACCGGAGAGGAAGGUGGAAUUCCCGGUGUAGCGGUGGAAUGCGUAGAGAUCCGGAAGAACACCGGUGGCGAAGGCGGCCUGCUGGGCAGUAGCUGACGCUGAGGCGCGACAGCGUGGGGAGCAAACAGG
rnacentral:rRNA from 1 species